UUUUUUUUUUUUUUUUUUUAAAUUUAUUUAUUAUUAUAUGUAAGUACACUGUAGCUGUCUUCAGACACACCAGAAGAGGGAGUCAGAUCUUGUUAAAGGUGGUUGUGAGCCACCAUGUGGUUGCUGGGAUUUGAACUCUGGACCUUCGGAAGAGCAGUCGGGUGCUCUUACCCGCUGAGCCAUCUCACCAGCCCCCUGUCUGGCAGGUUCUUGUUGCUUCUGGAGACUCAGGCUAAUCGAUUGAGUGAUGUCAGCUGAUACAGACUCAGGUGGAGUUUUGCUGAAAUAGACUUAUGUGGUAAGGUAAGACCCAUGGGAGGACACAUGAUGUUUGAAGGGAGUAUAGAUAAGACACCACAGUCAGUGACACCAGGUUUGCAUAGCUUUGAUUGUCUCACAUCUUCCUCUUCCUCUUUGUUGAUCUUCACUCCCCGGAGAAAGGCACAGCAGAGAGAGAACUCCUGGUAUCCCUCUUGGUCCUGGUCACUCCUGCUGACUUGAGCUGAUUUGGCUAAGGCCUGGCUGUUUCUGCUGGGUCGUUCCAUCACUGCUGAUUGAUUGGUGAUUGCUAUCCUGACACUGCUGAAUAGGACUGCUGGUAUAUAUCCUGAAAACAUAGACUGGAUUUGCUCCAAGGAACUAUUUCUAAACAGGUCCACUUCCCCCAUAUCCUAAAAACAUUUCUUUCCUACUAAUUCUGGUGGAUGGUGGGCUAGAAAAGAAGUUAAAACAUUAAAAAAAUUUAUUAAAAGUAGAGUUAAGGAAAAUAUAAGCCACGCAGAUUUUUCUUUUGGUCAGAGUAGAUUGACUUUCUUUUUUUUUUUUUUUUAACUAACUUUAUGUUUUUCUCUGGGUAAAUAGAUUGCUUGUAUAAUUUUUUGUAAAAUGUCUCUAAAUUUUAGAAAAGUAUAUAAUAAACUAUCUUCAUAAACUUCUUAUUCACUGCACUGUGUAUUUCCCAGUAAGACAGCUCUAUAGGCUCUAAAAAGGCGAGCACAAUUACUGCAUUCUUGGCUGGUUUCCCUUUGACCUGGUGUAAUUGUUUCACUUUUUGAAGUUAUUCCUGCUGUGUAAUUGCUACCUACUUUGUUUUAUUUAUUCUUUGUUGUAAAUUCUACACUGUCAGGCACCUAUAACAACCUGAACACAUUUUUGUUUAUAUUUCCAAUGCAUAAUUUGGCUGCUCAUUUAUUUCCUUAAUCUACUUUAUUUGUAAGUAAAAAUAUAUCUUUUUUUUUUUUUAGUUAGAUUCUCCUCUGUAUGCCAAUAAAAGAAGUUUUGUUUAAUAUAUGAGCUAAGUCUUUAUUUAUAUUUCAUUUCAGGUCUUCAAUGAAAUAUAUUACACUGAAGAUUGUUUCUAUAUAUAUUCUAUAUCUUUUCCUCAAUUGUCAGUUGCAUUACAAAUUUAAUUUUGGAGUUUUAUUACACUUUUUUUCCAUAGGAAAGUGCAUCAUACUAUAGUGGUUUUCUUUAGAGCAAAUUGUGUAGAAGAUCCCCUUUUUUUUCUUGUUCCACCAUUUUAGCUUCCUACCUCAUCUCCCAGGCUAUCGUGUCUGAGCCUCUCCAUGUAGAGCUGUCAGGGUCAAAGAUUAUCUUUAUUCUUCCAUCAGCAUGCUUUCUUUACAUAUCCAUAUCUCCUUAUCAUGUAUAUUCACUGGUAUUACCCUGAAGUUUGAUUUAGUGUUAAAGUUUAAGUUAAAUAUAGUUGGUUGGAUCUUUUUCAUUUUUCUUCAUUUUGUGUAUUUUCCCCUAUUUCUCCACUAAUGGAAUGGUACUUCUGCCCUAGAGAACAUGGUACAUUUCUGCACUGUGUUGAGUUGAACUGAGCUCUGCUCAACUUUGCUGAUGUAGAAUUGACUCUUCCAGCUGCGCUUGGAUGGAACUUAGUUGGAGUGGAUUCCCACCUCCUGCCUUUCUGUGUAUGGGACAUGAGCUUUUGUACUUGGAAGUCAUUUUACUUUGUUUCAUACAACUUUCAACUUUUACUAGCUCCUGCUAGGGAAGUUUACUAGGUAGCUGUACUGUAGACUAUCCCAUUCCCUAUAUUAGUAUGCUUUCUCUUGAGUUAUUCAUUCUAAUAUAUAUUUUGGAUACUAAUACAUUGUGUAAAACUUUAUCAACAGUUGUUUUCACAUGAAACUAUUGAGCAUGUAGAAAACUAUUUCAAGCCCAAAGAAAAUUGUUUAUAAUUAGUAAAAUCCAUGAAUUCUUUUUCUCCAUCUAACAAUCUAGUCUCCUUUCUUUUCAUGUUGACUCAUGAAGAUGUGAGUUUUCCUCAUAUAGUACAUAUAUACAUAUAAUUCAACUCAGAUAACAAUCCAUUCCAGCUUUUGGGCAGAAAUAGUGAAUUCAAUUUCAAGACUGAUAUACAUUAACUCAUAUGCUUAGUAUUAACUUCUUAGCACCAUUUCUGCUGCUACAAAAGCCUGAAAUGUUUUAGACUCGUACUACCAAUGUCUGGUAUAACAACUGAUUGAUAUCUAGUGAGGAGCAUGAGGCUGUAUUACAAGGCACAGGGUGGCAUCUGCUAUGGCAGAGCAGGUUUAUCAGCUUGACUUCUGGUUCCUUCUCUCUGCUUUUAUACAUGUGUGUAUGUGAACAGGUGUGCAUGUGUAUACAGAACAAAGCACAACCGUUGGCAUUUUUCUCACAUGCAAUACAUGUUUUCUUGAGGCAAGAUCUCUCAUUUGAUUUGUUCCUGACCAAGUAGACAAGGCAAAGGAAGACUCAGGAUCUACAUGUCUCUGACAUUCAUUACAGGGUUUACCAGCACAUGCCACCAAACCUGGCUUUGUAAAAGCAGGCUUUUUCAAAUUGAACUCAUAUCCUGUCCCGUGGAAAGCAAGCACUUUAUAAGCUAAGCUAGCUCCUAAAUCCUCUCUUCUUAUAAGGUUACUGAUGGCAUCAUUAGAUCAACCAACCAUCACAACUCCUCCUCAUUCUAAUUGUCACCAUAAGGUCCCCUCUCCAUAGACUGUUGAUGUUUACAUCACAGCUUCAUAUUUCCCAAAUCAUGAAUUCUUACAAAAAUAUUUGAGUCACAAUAUACCAAAUAGGAAUAGAGAUGUGGGUCAAUUGGUAAAGUGUUUACCUAGCAUAGAGGAGGCUCUGACUCAGAGCUCCAGGACCAUAUAAACCAGUUAUGGUGUUGUACACCAGGAAAGUAGAAGAAGGAAAGUCGGGAGUUCAAGGUUAUCCUCAACUACAUAGAGUUUGAGUAUGAACACCAGAGGACCAGUUCCAAAAACAGAACCAAACUAUACUUGAAAAAGGAUAAUAUAAUAAAGGAUCCAUGUGAAUAGACUAAAAAUUAAUAACAUGGGAACAAGAUAGAAUAGAGAGAACAGAUCAGAGAGUCACUUUGUAGCCUCUGGUGUAUGUUUAGCUGCAGCAAAUUUCUAAAUGCAGUUUCAUCAUGAUUGACAGUGUUUACAACCAGUGCUGAGUCAAUGCUUGAAUAGUUCCAUGCACAUAGGAACUUUGAUCUGUUUUGUAAUGCCAUAAAAAGUUAAAGGUGGUUGCAGAUCAAUGUUUAAAUCCUAAAGCAAAGCUU
rnacentral:lncRNA from 1 species